rnacentral:tRNA from 1 species
GCCCCUGUAGCUCAGCUGGAUAGAGCGCUGCCCUCCUAAGGCAGAUGUCAGACGUUCGAAUCGUCUCAGGGGCA